rnacentral:rRNA from 1 species
UUCGGGGUACUCGAGUGGCGAACGGGUGAGUAACACGUGGGCAAUCUGCCCUGCACACCGGGAUAAGCCUGGGAAACUGGGUCUAAUACCGGAUAGGACCACUUGGCGCAUGCCUUGUGGUGGAAAGCUUUUGCGGUGUGGGAUGGGCCCGCGGCCUAUCAGCUUGUUGGUGGGGUGACGGCCUACCAAGGCGACGACGGGUAGCCGGCCUGAGAGGGUGUCCGGCCACACUGGGACUGAGAUACGGCCCAGACUCCUACGGGAGGCAGCAGUGGGGAAUAUUGCACAAUGGGCGCAAGCCUGAUGCAGCGACGCCGCGUGGGGGAUGACGGCCUUUCGGGUUGUAAACCUCUUUCACCAUCGACGAAGGUCCGGGUUUUCUCGGAUUGACGGUAGGUGGAGAAGAAGCACCGGCCAACUACGUGCCAGCAGCCGCGGUAAUACGUAGGGUGCGAGCGUUGUCCGGAAUUACUGGGCGUAAAGAGCUCGUAGGUGGUUUGUCGCGUUGUUCGUGAAAUCUCACGGCUUAACUGUGAGCGUGCGGGCGAUACGGGCAGACUAGAGUACUGCAGGGGAGACUGGAAUUCCUGGUGUAGCGGUGGAAUGCGCAGAUAUCAGGAGGAACACCGGUGGCGAAGGCGGGUCUCUGGGCAGUAACUGACGCUGAGGAGCGAAAGCGUGGGGAGCGAACAGGAUUAGAUACCCUGGUAGUCCACGCCGUAAACGGUGGGUACUAGGUGUGGGUUUCCUUCCUUGGGAUCCGUGCCGUAGCUAACGCAUUAAGUACCCCGCCUGGGGAGUACGGCCGCAAGGCUAAAACUCAAAGGAAUUGACGGGGGCCCGCACAAGCGGCGGAGCAUGUGGAUUAAUUCGAUGCAACGCGAAGAACCUUACCUGGGUUUGACAUGCACAGGACGCGUCUAGAGAUAGGCGUUCCCUUGUGGCCUGUGUGCAGGUGGUGCAUGGCUGUCGUCAGCUCGUGUCGUGAGAUGUUGGGUUAAGUCCCGCAACGAGCGCAACCCUUGUCUCAUGUUGCCAGCGGGUAAUGCCGGGGACUCGUGAGAGACUGCCGGGGUCAACUCGGAGGAAGGUGGGGAUGACGUCAAGUCAUCAUGCCCCUUAUGUCCAGGGCUUCACACAUGCUACAAUGGCCGGUACAAAGGGCUGCGAUGCCGUGAGGUUAAGCGAAUCCUUUUAAAGCCGGUCUCAGUUCGGAUCGGGGUCUGCAACUCGACCCCGUGAAGUCGGAGUCGCUAGUAAUCGCAGAUCAGCAACGCUGCGGUGAAUACGUUCCCGGGCCUUGUACACACCGCCCGUCACGUCAUGAAAGUCGGUAACACCCG